rnacentral:rRNA from 1 species
UACAGAGGUCUCAACCGUUGUUCGGAUUCAUUGGGCGUAAAGGGUGCGUAGGCGGUCGUGCAAGUCGGAUGUGAAAUCUCAGGCUCAACCCUGAAACUGCAUUCGAUACUGCGUGGCUAGAGUGCUGGAGAGGAGACUGGAAUUACGGUGUAGCAGUGAAAUGCGUAGAUAUCGUAAGGAAGACCAGUGGCGAAGGCGAGUCUCUGGACAGCAACUGACGCUGAGGCACGAAGGCCAGGGAGCAAACGGG